GGUCCUUGGAGACGGAGACUCAGAUCAAAGCCCCGGCCGCUCACUGUGCUUCUCUCCUCCCCACCCAGCCCCUUUGAUGCCAAGAAUCCGUUCCUGGCUGCAGUCACCACCAACCGGAAGCUGAACCAGGGAACCGAGCGCCACCUCAUGCACCUGGAAUUGGACAUCUCAGACUCCAAAAUCAGGUACCAGCUGCCACUGUCACCCCCUGAACCCUCACUCUGGGCCUCCUGACCUGGGGCAGGGCCAGCCUUCCGCCCCUCCCGAGCCUCACAUCUCCCUCCAGGUAUGAAUCUGGGGACCACGUGGCUGUGUACCCAGCCAACGACUCUGCUCUCGUCAACCAGCUGGGCAAAAUCCUGGGUGCCGACCUGGACAUUGUCAUGUCCCUGAACAACCUGGAUGAGGAGUCCAACAAGAAGCACCCAUUCCCGUGCCCUACGUCCUACCGCACGGCCCUCACCUACUACCUGGACAUCACCAACCCGCCGCGCACCAACGUGCUGUACGAGCUGGCGCAGUACGCCUCGGAGCCCUCGGAGCAGGAGCUGCUGCGCAAGAUGGCCUCCUCCUCUGGCGAGGGCAAGGAGCUGUACCUGAGCUGGGUGGUGGAGGCCCGGAGGCACAUCCUGGCCAUCCUGCAGGACUGCCCGUCCCUGCGGCCCCCCAUCGACCACCUGUGUGAGCUGCUGCCGCGCCUGCAGGCCCGCUACUACUCUAUCGCCUCAUCCUCCAAGGUGAGGGCCAGCACUGCCCUGCCAGCCACACGCUGGAGGCCCAGCCCUGCUCACAGCAGGCAGAGUGCAAGGCGGCACAGGAGCUCCGAGAUCCGAGCCC
rnacentral:sRNA from 1 species